rnacentral:rRNA from 1 species
UACGGAGGGAGCUAGCGUUGUUCGGAAUUACUGGGCGUAAAGCGCACGUAGGCGGCUUUGUAAGUUAGAGGUGAAAGCCCGGAGCUCAACUCCGGAAUUGCCUUUAAGACUGCAUCGCUUGAAUCCAGGAGAGGUGAGUGGAAUUCCGAGUGUAGAGGUGAAAUUCGUAGAUAUUCGGAAGAACACCAGUGGCGAAGGCGGCUCACUGGACUGGUAUUGACGCUGAGACACGAAAGCCAGGGGAGCGAACGGG